rnacentral:rRNA from 1 species
GUUUGAUCCUGGCUCAGGACGAACGCUGGCGGCGUGCUUAACACAUGCAAGUCGAACGGUGACGAAGAGCUUGCUCUUCUGAGCAGUGGCGAACGGGUGAGUAACACGUGAGCAACCUACCCUUGACACUGGGAUAACAGUUGGAAACAGCUGCUAAUACCGGAUAUGAACCCGGCAGGCAUCUGCCGGGUUGGAAAGCUCCGACGGUCAAGGAUGGGCUCGCGGCCUAUCAGCUUGUUGGUGAGGUAACGGCUCACCAAGGCGACGACGGGUAGCCGGCCUGAGAGGGCGACCGGCCACACUGGGACUGAGAUACGGCCCAGACUCCUACGGGAGGCAGCAGUGGGGAAUAUUGCGCAAUGGGCGAAAGCCUGACGCAGCAACGCCGCGUGCGGGAUGACGGCCUCGGUGUAA